ensembl:misc_RNA 7SK 7SK RNA
AGAUAUCAGGACCAACUGGCAUCUGUCGCCCCUUUGGUUGCCAGGGUUGAUUCAGCUGAUCUGGCUGGCUAGGCAGGUGUCCCCUUCCUCCCUCAUCACUCCAUGUGUGUCCCUCCCGGAGCUGCAUGCUAGGUCAAAGAGGACAACCUUCCCUGAUAGAGGAGGACUGUUCUUUGGUCAAAGGUAUACCAGUAGCUUCAUUCCCCUGCUAGGACUUCCAAACAAGCUGUCAAGGUCCAUUUGUAGGAUAAUAUAGCAUAGGCAAGCUCCCAAAACCCUAGACACCUGCAGAUGAGGUGCUGCAUGUGGUAGAUUGCCUUUCUUA